UCCACGGUCCCUACUUCAUCAAUUUUCUCCAUUCGUUUCAUUAAAACGACACCUUCGAGCUACACCGAGCUCAGAAACCGCCUUCAAUGGGGAACACCGGGAGAAACUAGAGCCUACCUUUCCUUCGUUCGAUCACUCUGCGCUUUCUGGUCACCCGCGGGCAUUCUGUCGGCUUCCCGAAUAUGAAACUGAAACGCCACCGACGCGAAGUUUCUCUUGACCUGGAAAGUGGAGCGGAGUGGGAGGAAGCUGUCGGCCGUGUUAUUCCGUGAAGCGACAGUGUAUCGGAACUGUGGUGAACACCGACACCGGGAAAAACUCACCGAUCGGGCCCUUUCGACUGGGGCCGGAAAAGGCAACCUCGCUGUGGGCGAAUUAACAUUCCUAUUUCAACACAGUUUCCACUAAAUAUACCCAGAUUGAGACUAGGUCUCCGUUCAUCAAAUAGAGGUCCAGCAUCUACCCGGAUCCCGAGGGAUUUUCUUCGGCUGGAACAUUAGGACCCACUGAAUACUGAGCAGCCUGUGGGAUGGCUAAGUCUCUGGUGUCCCGGGGUACAGGGAAAGAGGAAACAUUCCUGUUGCAGAUCGCCCUUUACUAAAGUUGCUGAUAUAAUGGUGGCUGAGUGUUGGGCUAGAGCUGCCUGAAAAGCCUAAGACCAGGGAGGAGAGGAACCGCGCUGGGCGCUCUCCCGGGUUCGCACUUCCUCAUCACCAGGAUGAUUUUAACGUCAAGCAGAUGCAGGUGGGAUUUUAAGAAGUUUCGGCCUCCUUUACACCGUUUUUCUGUCAACAAACCAUACAUUAAAAUAACCCCCCCCCACCACCCCCACCCCCGCCUUCCCUGUAGAAUAAACAACAUGAGCUGUCUCAGGUGUCGCCUAUCUCCUGCCCUCCUCCAGGUCAAACAGUGCAAACUCAGUCCGGUUUUCACUGUGAGCAAAAGAAAAUCGAAAUCUGCACAAACAGACAGCGGGUUUAUUCCAUUUCGCCUCAAGAUCUGGUUAAUGGUGAAGAGACAAGGCAGUUAGGAGUUGUACCAUGAUCCACCACAACUCUCAGUCAGCAGCAGUCUCCAGUCAUUAGGAUCCAAACCGCACAAACUCGUCUCUCCCCACUCUCAGUAACUACACGAUAUCUCAAUCAUUCCACAUGUGGAUGUUUCACGUGAAAUGCACAAAAGCUGCUUUAUCCGAAGAGCGUUCGAAAUACAGUAAGAACUAUAGAAUCUGCAGGUGGUCUCCGCUUUCAAAGUCAUUCUGUCACCGAAAGGGGGAAAGUCGAUCAUUUUGAAAGACCGCUGCCAAAUAGCAGUACUCGGGGAUAACACACACACCGCUUUGGACAUUCCGUAGUCUCUCUGCUGGAGAUCGGUUUAUCAACACAAUGAAAGUACAAGUGACUGACGUUCCCAUCAUGAAAUUCGUAUAAACAAUCGCUGGUUGGGAAUUGGAUGAUUGGGACCAAUUAACAGAGUCCCAGCCUAUUAACACCUGCACAACAUACGGUCCGGUACUGAGAACUUCCUGACACCGAGUGAAGCGAGUUUGUCCAACAAUAUUCUACGUGCUGUCACAGUCGCCUGGUUCGAACUGUCGUUUAAAGGAACACUACCUCUAUUUAACAUUUAAAAAUAAUUUGAACGACACCCAUGUUUCCAAUUUGGCUGCCAUUAUUGAUAUACAAUAGAGAAAAUGUAAUUCAGUUUGCACAUUUCCUAAAGAUUCACUUGGUAGGAUGAUGUUAAAGACGAUUUUCGGUUUAUCUUUAAGAUUUCUAUUGACAAAAACAAAACGGAUUCUGCCAGUAUCCCUUACACAACUUUACAGGUCGACUAGUUAGAAACUAGGAAAUUAAUGGUAACUGUAGGAAUCAAUUAAAAACAGCACAGCAUAUUCCCUCAGUUCAUCAGAAUCCAUUCGGGAAAGCGACACUUAUCGAAAAUACAAGUUAGCUUUCCUUGAGACAGUUUUGUUCAGCUUGGCAAUUUUUUUUGUAACGUUUAUCUAUUCACUCCAAGUGUGAAGGCGUUAUUAUUACGGCAGGGCAAAUAUUCCCACAAGAGUGUAAGUGGACACAUUUUGAAGGGUUAUUUUCGUAGAUUAUCCAAAAUUAAAACUGGAAGGUCUUGUGAUGAUCCAAAACCUUUUGCAUUUGCUAUGUUAAUUGCUUCCCGAGGGCGAGGGUGCAUUCCAGCACAUCAUUAAAAACUUUUUAAAAAGCGAUAUCAGUCUGAUUCACAGUUUCAGACAUUCUGUGGUUAUCUAGGGUCGGGAGCUCAUCCAGUAUCCAGUAUCCACUGAGCACUCCGUUUCUGAUCUUUAUGAAAGUUGCUUUUUGGACUGAGCAACUCGACCUUUCAGAUAGAGGUCCAGCCCAGUUUAUUUGACUCAAUCGCUUUGCACAAAUUCAAAUGUGUUCGUGUGUUUUAUCUUAUUUAGGGGAAUAAAGAAACAAUACUUUAUCUCCUUGAGAGAUAUUAACUGGAGUCUCGGACUUGGUAAAUUCAACAUCAUAACUAAAUAUCUCGCACUGAGUGUGAGUUUAACGCAAUUAGUCAAACAUCAGCAGAGCUCUUUAAUAAAGUUAAAAACUACAUUAAAUUUUACCAAAAAAAUCUACGAGAUCUCACAAGAGCCAAUAAAAUAGACCCAGAAAUUAAAGAGCCAAAACCAGAUCCCAGGGAAGUGAAAUACUGGAAGGAUUAAUUCUUUUGAUAAUCUGAGAUAUUUAAUACGUUUUAAAAUGUAUUGUUUGUUAACAAUUGAACAGUG